CAAGGGGAAAGAAAAACAACCCGGAAAAACCGGGGGAAAACUGUCAUAUACACACACUCGACCAAGCAAAUACUCGUUAAGAUUCGCUCCGGUUGAAGUCUGUUUUAUGAUUGGUUAAAGUUUUCCAGUGAAAAGCGGGACCUGCAACAAAGGAACUUAUUUCUGCGGAAAAGAAGAUACAUUUUCAAAAAAAAAAAUCUAAAAGAGGAAACUUGAAACUUCAGUGCAGCAGACAGCUAAAGGACAAGGAAGGAAUCGAAGGAAAUGCAAGUGCAUUGGGUUUUCUUUUCCUGCAGCACAAUUGGAAAAUGCGCGGCAGGACUAAGGAUGGGGGGUUCUGGUUGGAAAAGCGACACGGUGUCUGCUCUUCAACGCAUGCUAUUUGCUCUUUACAUCCUUUUAGCCAUUUUCGGUGCCUUUCAACGAUUCUUUUAUGAUUUCCUUAAUAAAAACACAGUGAAAAAUAGUUCAAGAUGAAGGAUCUGUAAUAUAUUUGAAAAUAUUA